rnacentral:misc_RNA from 1 species
UCCGAGUUGACCCCGGCAGUCUCCCGCAAGUCCCCAGCCGGCCGAAACCGCUGCUGGCAAUACAGGACGAGGGUUGCGCUCGUUGCGGGACUUAACCCAACAUCUCACGACACGAGCUGACGACAACCAUGCACCACCUGUGCACGACCCCAAAGGACACGCGAUCUCUCGCGCUGCACCGUGCAUGUCAAGCCCUGGUAAGGUUCUUCGCGUCGCAUCGAAUUAAGCCGCAUGCUCCGCCGCUUGUGCGGGCCCCCGUCAAUUCCUUUGAGUUUUAGCCUUGCGGCCGUACUCCCCAGGCGGGGCGCUUAAUGCGUUAGCUGCGGCACGGAGCCCGUGGAAACAGGCCCCACACCUAGCGCCCAACGUUUACGGCGUGGACUAC